rnacentral:rRNA from 1 species
GACGAACGCUGGCGGCGUGCUUAACACAUGCAAGUCGAACGGAAAGGCCCUGCUUUUGUGGGGUGCUCGAGUGGCGAACGGGUGAGUAACACGUGAGUAACCUGCCCUUGACUUUGGGAUAACUUCAGGAAACUGGGGCUAAUACCGGAUAGGAGCUCCUGCUGCAUGGUGGGGGUUGGAAAGUUUCGGCGGUUGGGGAUGGACUCGCGGCUUAUCAGCUUGUUGGUGGGGUAGUGGCUUACCAAGGCUUUGACGGGUAGCCGGCCUGAGAGGGUGACCGGCCACAUUGGGACUGAGAUACGGCCCAGACUCCUACGGGAGGCAGCAGUGGGGAAUAUUGCACAAUGGGCGGAAGCCUGAUGCAGCAACGCCGCGUGCGGGAUGACGGCCUUCGGGUUGUAAACCGCUUUCGCCUGUGACGAAGCGUGAGUGACGGUAAUGGGUAAAGAAGCACCGGCUAACUACGUGCCAGCAGCCGCGGUGAUACGUAGGGUGCGAGCGUUGUCCGGAUUUAUUGGGCGUAAAGGGCUCGUAGGUGGUUGAUCGCGUCGGAAGUGUAAUCUUGGGGCUUAACCCUGAGCGUGCUUUCGAUACGGGUUGACUUGAGGAAGGUAGGGGAGAAUGGAAUUCCUGGUGGAGCGGUGGAAUGCGCAGAUAUCAGGAGGAACACCAGUGGCGAAGGCGGUUCUCUGGGCCUCUCCUGACGCUGAGGAGCGAAAGCGUGGGGAGCGAACAGGCUUAGAUACCCUGGUAGUCCACGCUGUAAACGGUGGGUACUAGGUGUGGGGUCCAUUCCACGGGUUCCGUGCCGUAGCUAACGCUUUAAGUACCCCGCCUGGGGAGUACGGCCGCAAGGCUAAAACUCAAAGGAAUUGACGGGGCCCCGCACAAGCGGCGGAGCAUGCGGAUUAAUUCGAUGCAACGCGUAGAACCUUACCUGGGUUUGACAUGGAUCGGGAGUGCUCAGAGAUGGGUGUGCCUCUUUUGGGGUCGGUUCACAGGUGGUGCAUGCCUGUCGUCAGCUCGUGUCGUGAGAUGUUGGGUUAAGUCCCGCAACGAGCGCAACCCUUGUUCACUGUUGCCAGCACGUUAUGGUGGGGACUCAGUGGAGACCGCCGGGGUCAACUCGGAGGAAGGUGGGGAUGACGUCAAGUCAUCAUGCCCCUUAUGUCCAGGGCUUCACGCAUGCUACAAUGGCUGGUACAGAGAGUGGCGAGCCUGUGAGGGUGAGCGAAUCUCGGAAAGCCGGUCUCAGUUCGGAUUGGGGUCUGCAACUCGAUCUCAUGAAGUCGGAGUCGCUAGUAAUCGCAGAUCAGCAACGCCGCGGUGAAUACGUUCCCGGG